ACAGCAGUCGCCGCGGUAAUACAGAGGGUGCGAGCGUUAAUCGGAUUUACUGGGCGUAAAGCGUGCGUAGGCGGCUUCUUAAGUCGGAUGUGAAAUCCCUGAGCUUAACUUAGGAAUUGCAUUCGAUACUGGGAAGCUAGAGUAUGGGAGAGGAUGGUAGAAUUCCAGGUGUAGCGGUGAAAUGCGUAGAGAUCUGGAGGAAUACCGAUGGCGAAGGCAGCCAUCUGGCCUAAUACUGACGCUGAGGUACGAAAGCAUGGGGAGCAAACAGGAUUAGAUACCCCUGUAGUCCCUGUCUCUUAUAA
rnacentral:rRNA from 1 species